GAUGAACGCUGGCGGCGUGCUUAACACAUGCAAGUCGAACGGGAAACCUUUUAUUGAAGCUUCGGCAGAUUUAGCUGGUUUCUAGUGGCGGACGGGUGAGUAACGCGUGGGUAACCUGCCUUAUACAGGGGGAUAACAACCAGAAAUGGUUGCUAAUACCGCAUAAGCGCACAGGACCGCAUGGUCCGGUGUGAAAAACUCCGGUGGUAUAAGAUGGACCCGCGUUGGAUUAGCUAGUUGGCAGGGUAACGGCCUACCAAGGCGACGAUCCAUAGCCGGCCGGGGAGGGUGAACGGCCACAUUGGGACUGAGACACGGCCCAGACUCCUACGGGAGGCAGCAGUGGGGAAUAUUGCACAAUGGGGGAAACCCUGAUGCAGCGACGCCGGGUGAAGGAAGAAGUAUCUCGGUAUGUAAACUUCUAUCAGCAGGGAAGAUAGUGACGGUACCUGAAGAAGAAGCCCCGGCUAACUACGUG
rnacentral:rRNA from 1 species